rnacentral:lncRNA from 1 species
AGUUAUUACAUGUUGGAACAGUCCAAAUGUUCGAUAAUUACAACAUAGAUCAGUUUGAUACUGUAUUAUAACAUGAUGAUCAUUUUACUGAUAUUCCUAUACUCAAACAUAAAUAGGGGAGAAUGGAGGGGGUAAACUUCAAAAAUACACAUGACAACUAAAUCUUCACAUUGGAGUAUAUAUUUCAUUUGAACUUCAUGGAUACAAAAGCAUUGAGUGUACCUGUAAAGCAGCAGAAGAAUAGGCCUAUGAGUAAACAGAAUAGAUCAACUAAGCAACCAACAUCCAAUAAAACAGUAUUUCCAGACUUCAGUAGAAUUUUUUAGAGAGUUAAAUCUUCAGGAAAUGAUUCAAAGCAAUCCUAAUGGUAUUUUCAGAUAUAGAAUCAGUAUCUCAGCUUUAGAAUUGUAAAGAGAAGUUCUGUAUCCCUUCCAAUGCCCCCAAAUGGCUCAAUUUAUAGCAAAACUGUUAGGGCAUCAGAUUUUACUUGUUACUUUUUUAGUCCCUAACUCAAAUUGUAUUUUUGCCUAAGUAAUCCUUCAAUUUCUAACUUGUGCCUCAAGUUUGAGGCUGGAAUUAUGUGUUAGUCCUUGCUGGAAAGUUCUACAGGAUUCUUAUUAGAUUUUUUAUAAUUUAAAAUCCCUUUUAUACCCUUACUAUCUUUCCUAAAUUACCAUAUUAGUCCAAGGUUCUACAUGUUCCUGUCAGAUUUUUUAUAAUUUCAAAUUCCUUUUAUACCCUUAGUAACUUUCCUAAAUUACCCUACCCCUGAACUUGAUCUUGGUCAGUUCAGUUCAGUCCAAUUAACCUUGGUUAGUCAGCUUGAGUCACUAAUAAGCUCAUGAAAGUUCCCUUAGCCAAAAUUAACAGACUUCUUCAAGCAUUAUAUAGGAUUAACACACAGAAGACCAGAAAAGUGAAUCAUUUAUCAGCACUGAAGACCAAAACUAGCAUGAAUUAAUGAUUAAGCAUUCAGUGGUACAAUCAGACAGUCAAACUAAUUAUAAAAUAAGUAAAUCAAUAAAAUUCAUCAAAUUAUGAGAAUCAUAUCACUUGAAAAGCUAAUUAUAACAGGAUGCUGAACUAAUGACAAACAAACAAGCAUAUGAACAUUAAACCCUAAUCUUAGAAGAACUUUGUGGACAACCAGAUAAACAACCAAAACUAAAAGAAAUGCAGACUUUAAAAUGUAUAUUAACCUAAUCAAUUAUUCCAGGCUUAGUGACAAACAAACAAACAUGAACAUUGAACCCUAAUUUCCAGAAGAACUUAUGGACAACCAGAUAAGCAACUAGAAUCAAAUAACAGAAGUUCAGACUUUAAUAAUGGAAAUUAAUCAAUUAUCAAAAGCUAAAAAAAUGGAAAAUAGGCAGGAAAACUUAGCUUUCAUAAUUUAUUCCCUUUUAAACCAUCCUAGUUGGACAUUGAUUCUUCCACAGGGGUUCUGAACGCUCCUAGGACGAUGAUAAACAUUUUACAAUCUUGGGCUUUUUUUCAAAGUUCUAAGACCUCACUAGGUCUCAGAUUUGGAAUUUUGGGUAGUUGGGGGUUGUUUGAGACUCGAGGGUAGCAUGGUUGGUGUAAGGGAGGAUCAGGGACUGCCUGGGGGAAGUUUGGACCAUUUCCGGCAUGUUUGGAAUUUUAGGGUUGGCCUUCGGAUUAAUAUUCGAGGGGUUUCAUGGUAAUUUGAGAGUGGUGAUGUGCAUGGUUGGAACGGGUAGGUCAGGGUGUUUUAGUGGUGUAGUUUUGGG